CUGAGUUAGGGUCUCUUCAGGCCCGACCUCCCAACCCUUGUGUCUACCUAACCUAUCGUUGCUUCGGUGGGACGGAUCUGUCCUCUGGGACGGACCCGCCGGAGGGGUGAACAACCGCCCCUUGGGAGAGCUUCCCACCGACGGCCCACAACAAACUCUUGUACCAAAAACCUGUCGUCUAAAGUUCUGAUAUUUGAAUCAAAAACA
rnacentral:misc_RNA from 1 species